ACUAGCGCUGCUCUCCAAGCUCGUCAUCACCGGAGGUGUUCUUCCCUGAAUGCCACUCUCUUUGAGUGCCCGAGAAGGAUACUCUCCCGAACCCCCAGUUCCCUACUCGAUACAACUCCUCCCAAACUCCAUCGUCAGCUCCAAGACUCGAAGCUCCUCUUCUCUUCAGCGACUGCCACCACCGCCUCGACACCAUCCACGGGACCUUCACCAAGGUCAGCGUCAGCAUGUUCACGAAGGCGCACGGGCAGCAGCCUAACGCGAUGCAGUUGGCGACGAGGACUGCGGUGCACGAACGACAUGAGUUGCCGGAGCACUCGACGUGAUCGCUGGCCUCGCUUGACCUGAUCAAAGUACAGUCAGUGAGAUAGCUUUUAUAAAUAUGCAGUGAACAAAUUAAGAAAGAAAUGUGCUUCCCAAUUAUUUUUGACCUCUUUCUUCCUUCUAAAAACCACUAUAUUUUAAGAACAUAUAUGUCAUUUGUUCAUCUUUGCUCUUGAUUCAGUCCUAGCAAUUAGAUAAAA